UCGAGUAUGGUGUAACGGCUAACAUUACCGCCUUUCAAGAGGCAACACAGUGAAUUAAACAGCUUUACGCGGUAGCUCGGGGUUCGAUUCCCCGUACUCGAA